GACGAACGCUGGCGGCGUGCUUAACACAUGCAAGUCGAACGGAAAGGCCUCUUUCGGGGGGUACUCGAGUGGCGAACGGGUGAGUAACACGUGAGUAACCUGCCCUUGACUUUGGGAUAACUUCAGGAAACUGGGGCUAAUACCGGAUAGGAGCUCCUGCUGCAUGGUGGGGGUUGGAAAGUUUCGGCGGUUGGGGAUGGACUCGCGGCUUAUCAGCUUGUUGGUGGGGUAGUGGCUUACCAAGGCUUUGACGGGUAGCCGGCCUGAGAGGGUGACCGGCCACAUUGGGACUGAGAUACGGCCCAGACUCCUACGGGAGGCAGCAGUGGGGAAUAUUGCACAAUGGGUGGAAGCCUGAUGCAGCAACGCCGUGUGCGGGAUGACGGCCUUCGGGUUGUAAACCGCUUUCGCUCAUAACGAAGCUUUGUGUGACGGUAGUGGGUAAAGAAGCACCGGCUAACUACGU
rnacentral:rRNA from 1 species